UACGAAGGGUGCAAGCGUUACUCGGAAUUACUGGGCGUAAAGCGUGCGUAGGUGGUUUGUUAAGUCUGAUGUGAAAGCCCUGGGCUCAACCUGGGAACGGCAUUGGAAACUGGCUUACUAGAGUGCGGUAGAGGGGUGUGGAAUUCCCGGUGUAGCAGUGAAAUGCGUAGAUAUCGGGAGGAACAUCUGUGGCGAAGGCGACACCCUGGACCAGCACCGACGUUCAGGCACGAAAGCGUGGGGAGCAAACAGG
rnacentral:rRNA from 1 species